rnacentral:rRNA from 1 species
CACGUAGGGGGCAAGCGUUGUCCGGAUUUAUUGGGUUUAAAGGGUGCGUAGGCGGUCUGGUAAGUCGGCGGUGAAAGCCCAGGGCUCAACCCUGGAAUUGCCUUUAAGACUGCAUCGCUUGAAUCAUGGAGAGGUGAGUGGAAUUCCGAGUGUAGAGGUGAAAUUCGUAGAUAUUCGGAAGAACACCAGUGGCGAAGGCGACUCACUGGACAUGUAUUGACGCUGAGGUGCGAAAGCGUGGGGAGCAAACAGG